GACGUAGGGCGCGAGCGUUGUCCGGAUUUAUUGGGCGUAAAGAGCUCGUAGGCGGCUUGUCGCGUCGGCUGUGAAAACCCGCGGCUCAACUGUGGGCGGGCAGCUGAUACGGGCAGACUAGAGUAUGGUAGGGGAGACUGGAAUUCCUGGUGUAGCGGUGAAAUGCGCAGAUAUCAGGAGGAACACCGAUGGCGAAGGCAGGUCUCUGGGCCACUACUGACGCUGAGAAGCGAAAGCAUGGGGAGCGAACAGG
rnacentral:rRNA from 1 species